rnacentral:rRNA from 1 species
CCAGACAGCCAGGAUGUUGGCUUAGAAGCAGCCAUCAUUUAAAGAAAGCGUAAUAGCUCACUGGUCGAGUCGGCCUGCGCGGAAGAUGUAACGGGGCUAAACCAUGCACCGAAGCUGCGGCAGCGACACUAUGUGUUGUUGGGUAGGGGAGCGUUCUGUAAGCCUGUGAAGGUGGCCUGUGAGGGUUGCUGGAGGUAUCAGAAGUGCGAAUGCUGACAUAAGUAACGAUAAAGCGGGUGAAAAGCCCGCUCGCCGGAAGACCAAGGGUUCCUGUCCAACGUUAAUCGGGGCAGGGUGAGUCGACCCCUAAGGCGAGGCCGAAAGGCGUAGUCGAUGGGAAACAGGUUAAUAUUCCUGUACUUGGUGUUACUGCGAAGGGGGGACGGAGAAGGCUAUGUUGGCCGGGCGACGGUUGUCCCGGUUUAAGCGUGUAGGCUGGUUUUCCAGGCAAAUCCGGAAAACCAAGGCUGAGGCGUGAUGACGAAGCACUACGGUGCUGAAGCGACAAAUGCCCUGCUUCCAGGAAAAGCCUCUAAGCAUCAGGUAACAUCAAAUCGUACCCCAAACCGACACAGGUGGUCAGGUAGAGAAUACCAAGGCGCUUGAGAGAACUCGGGUGAAGGAACUAGGC